CACAUGCAAGUCGGACGGCAGCACAGAGAAGCUUGCUUCUUGGGUGGCGUGUGGCGAACGGGUGAGUAAUAUAUCGGAACGUACCGAGUAAUGGGGGAUAACUAAUCGAAAGAUUAGCUAAUACCGCAUAUUCUCUGAGGAGGAAAGCAGGGGACCUUCGGGCCUUGCGUUAUUCGAGCGGCCGAUAUCUGAUUAGCUAGUUGGUGGGGUAAAGGCCUACCAAGGCGACGAUCAGUAGCGGGUCUGAGAGGAUGAUCCGCCACACUGGGACUGAGACACGGCCCAGACUCCUACGGGAGGCAGCAGUGGGGAAUUUUGGACAAUGGGCGCAAGCCUGAUCCAGCCAUGCCGCGUGUCUGAAGAAGGCCUUCGGGUUGUAAAGGACUUUUGUCAGGGAAGAAAAGGCUGUUGCUAAUAUCGACAGCUGAUGACGGUACCUGAAGAAUAAGCACCGGCUAACUACGUGCCAGCAGCCGCGGUAAUACGUAGGGUGCGAGCGUUAAUCGGAAUUACUGGGCGUAAAGCGAGCGCAGACGGUUACUUAAGCAGGAUGUGAAAUCCCCGGGCUCAACCUGGGAACUGCGUUCUGAACUGGUGACUAGAGCGUGUCAGAGGGAGGUAGAAUUCCACGUGUAGCAGUGAAAUGCGUAGAGAUGUGGAGGAAUACCGAUGGCGAAGGCAGCCUCCUGGGAUAACACUGACGUUCAUGCUCGAAAGCGUGGGUAGCAAACAGGAUUAGAUACCCUGGUAGUCCACGCCCUAAACGAUGUCAAUUAGCUGUUGGGCAACUUGAUUGCUUAGUAGCGUAGCUAACGCGUGAAAUU
rnacentral:rRNA from 1 species